rnacentral:rRNA from 1 species
GGCCAGACUCCUACGGGAGGCAGCAGUCGGGAAUAUUGCGCAAUGGAGGAAACUCUGACGCAGUGACGCCGCGUAUAGGAAGAAGGUUUUCGGAUUGUAAACUCCUUUUAUCAGGGACGAUAAUGACGGUACCUGAAGAAAAAGCUCCGGCUAACUACGUGCCAGCAGCCGCGGUAAUACGUAGGGGGCAAGCGUUAUCCGGAUUUACUGGGUGUAAAGGGAGCGUAGACGGCAAUGCAAGUCUGGAGUGAAAGCCCAAGGCCCAACCAUGGGACUGCUCUGGAAACUGUGUAGCUUGAGUGCAGGAGGGGUAAGCGGAAUUCCUAGUGUAGCGGUGAAAUGCGUAGAUAUUAGGAGGAACACCGGUGGCGAAGGCGGCUUACUGGACUGCAACUGACGUUGAGUCUCGAAGGCGUGGGGAGCCAACAGGAUUAGAUACCCUAGUA